rnacentral:tRNA from 1 species
UUUUAACAAAAAUGAUAGGCUAUGUAUAUAAGCUGUUAGAUUCAUAAUCUAGUGAAGGU